AUUGAACGCUGGCGGCAGGCCUAACACAUGCAAGUCGAACGAGUGGCGGACGGGUGAGUAAUGUCUGGGAAACUGCCUGAUGGAGGGGGAUAACUACUGGAAACGGUAGCUAAUACCGCAUACCAUCAGAUGUUCCCAGAUGGGAUUAGCUAGUUGGUGGGGUAAUGGAUCACCAAGGCGACCAGCCCUAGCUGGUCUGAGAGGAUGACCGGCCACACUGGAACUGAGACACGGUCCAGACUCCUACGGGAGGCAGCAGUGGGGAAUAUUGGGCAAUGGGCGAAAGCCUGAUGCAGCAAUGCCGCGUGUGUGAAGAAGGCUUUCGGGUUGUAAAGUUCUUUCAGCGGGGAGGCGUUACCCGCAGAAGAAGCACCGGCUAACUCCGUGCCAGCAGCCGCGGUAAUAC
rnacentral:rRNA from 1 species